UACGUAGGGUGCAAGCGUUGUCCGGAAUUAUUGGGCGUAAAGAGCUCGUAGGCGGUCUGUCGCGUCGGCUGUGAAAACCCGAGGCUCAACCUCGGGCCUGCAGUCGAUACGGGCAAACUAGAGUGUUGCAGGGGAGACUGGAAUUCCUGGUGUGGCGGUGAAAUGCGCAGAUAUCAGGAGGAACACCGGUGGCGAAGGCGGGUCUCUGGGCAACAACUGACGCUGAGGAGCGAAAGCGUGGGGAGCGAACAGG
rnacentral:rRNA from 1 species